ensembl:misc_RNA Metazoa_SRP Metazoan signal recognition particle RNA
GCCGGGCGUGGUGGCGGGUGCCUGUAGUCCCAGCUACUUGGGAGGCUGAGGCAGGAGAAUUACUUGUACCCAGGAGCUGGAGGUUGCAGUGAGCCAAGAUUGCACCACUGCACUCCAGCCUGGGUGAUAGAGCAAGACUCUGUAUCAA